GUUAAAACAUCUAUAAUAAACAUUAUUUAUUUUUAUAGUUUAUAAACAUCUAUUAACCAACCAUUUCUUGGUUUAAGCAUUUCAAACUAGUGCUUUUUCUACUGCAUAGAGUUUGGUUUGUUUGUUUAUUUUAGUUACAUAUAAAAAUGCAGAAAGGUAGGCAAUUUGGCUGCUUGGCUGUAACAUUUAUAGAAGUAAACUAAAUUUCACCUGUCAGGACAGAAUUUAAAACUCCUAGAGGAAAAGUAGACCAUUAAAUAUCUUUAAAAUACUCUUUACACAGUUAUUUUCAACCAACUGCAAACAAGAGAGAUGAGUCAUCAUCUGGAGCACAUGGAUUAUGGGAGGAUUCCAAAUACCCUUCCCCAGUGCAUAUUCAAAACAUCCCAAGGUGUUAGACACCCUCUCAAAGGUGGGACAGAAUAAUAAUGAUGGCUUCAGUACAAUGUUAUAUAUGCUACGAGAGUGGCACAUAUACAGACGACUCUGGAGCUAAGAACAAGGACAUCUACACGCUAAGUUUCAGGCAUUUGUCACUGAGCAUCUCAAAUACCGGAUAGAAAUCUUGCUUCUUUCAGAAAUUUACCCCAGACUGGAGCUACCAAUCACAGUUAAUGAAGGUAACUAUUUAAUUCAACCUUAAACUUCAUCUUCAAAAUGAAGAUAAUUCAUUCUUUGAUAUGAAGUUGCCAUGACUAGUACAUUUUCACCCCUUAUUAAUCUUUCCAUAUUUUAAUUUGGAAAGGUUGUCUAAUGAUGUCUUUUUCUCCAGGGCCUUAAUUUUCACUUUCGACAUUUUAU
rnacentral:lncRNA from 1 species